ACUACUCCUUGGACUGCAGCUCUGUUAAACAUGGUUUGCUGUGUUACCCUGCAUCACCCUUGGAGGUAGGAGUGACUCAGAAGUAGAAGGAACUACCAGGGUUCCAAGCUACUCUUCUUCACUUGACAUACAUCUCUGGAGAACUGAUCCUGCCAGGAAAGCCCUGAGGGCAAAACACUUCCUUCCUGUUUUUCUCUAUUCAAGGCAGGAAGCAGCUAAUAUGUACUUUCUGAGUGAUCAUCAUACGGCGUGCUCCUGUGGGCCACUGUUGCCUGAUCUCCUCCGGGGCUCACAGAGAUCUCAGCAAGCAAGGAAUAUGGAACUGCUCAAAUCAGGAAUAGACGGGGACUUUGAAGAUAAGAGACAGCACGACAGAGGGAACACAAGCAGGGGGAGUGGGAGAGGGAGAAGCAGACUCCCCCUGAGCAAGGAGUCCGAUAUGGGGCUCAAUCCCAGGACCCUGGGAUCAUGACCUGAGCCGAAGGCAGACGCUGAACGACUGAGCC